AGGUUCUUUCGGAGCAAAGGGUUCCUCGCUUGUGAAAGUGAGGACGAGCCUUUGCUUGACAAAGAAUGGUUUCUAAUACCCAAGAAAUUGUUCCAUCUGCUGACAUGGCUCUAUUUUAAACGCUUAAUGAGCCUUUUCUUAUAAGGGCCUUGGGGUCAAGCAAGUUGAGACAAGAGACUUGCCUGGAGAUGCCUUCAGAGAAAAGAGCCAUCAAAGGCCCCAGAACACAAGGCCCCAGAACACGAAAGGGCUGGACUCGAGUGAGAACGGAGGCUCACCUGGGCCCAGGAGACAGAGAGGUGCCUGGGGGUAUCCACAGUGACCGCCACCCCCAUGGAGCAAAGCUUCAUGCCAGUCACCGUCCUGCGCCCCUUGGGGCGUUAGCUCCUGACAACCCUACUGGACGGGUGCGUUCUUCAGCUGUGGGCACCUCUUCCCUACCACGAGCCCUGCCCAUGAAGGUGGCCUUCUAGAAUUCCAUGCCAGAGGAUUCAGCAUCACAGGACCAUAAAAUCCAAAGCCAGCAAAUAAAAAUAAUCCAAGCUAGCAGGAGGGCCUUGGAGCCAGGGGCCCUUAGGAUCCUGGCCAGUCACUCUUUCUUCAUCAAACUCCGAACAAGAGGAAGGCCUGGGGCAUGCCUGCCCUUCCUCCAGCCAAGGAUGAGCGGGAACCUCUGCCCACAGAAAAAUUUCCAUCAAGGGUCAAAUCCAAAAUGCCAGGCGUUCAGGCGACCUAAGGGGCCUGCGGAUCCUAAGUUGGGAAACACCCCAACUGCCAGGUUACACUCAAACGAGGGAAGGAUGUGUUGAAUCUUGUGCUGUAUUCAAGCCAUCAUACCGAGCUUUUACGGACACCGUUGGUUUCUUGGACCUCAACGUCCUUCCCCGGUUACUACCCCAACAGUGGCACCAGAAGCAAGCUUGGUUACUUGAAGGGGCCAGCUGUGUGUCUUGGACAGUGAGCACGCAGUAGCAAGUCUGCCUUUAACCCAGGCGUCAGAGGAAGGCCCAACUGCAAUUCUACGCUCCACCUUUUGGCGUCUUCUCGUACUUUUUCGCUUGGGGUGCUUCCCCCUCUGGCAGGCAGAGAGGCCGGAGGAGUUCGGCGGACGGCGUUAUGGGAAGGUGGGCUGAGUUGGGACACGGACACGACAGGGCGAGCCAGCACCAGGAGUGGAAGGAGCCUCUUCGUCCACUCCGUCCAGAGGCGCGGAGACAGAGGCAGAAGGCCGCCCCUGCUGCCCCUGGUCGGUGUCCUUCCGUGACACCUGCCCUGUGCUCCAACAGAUGCGGGCUUAGCCGGGAGGGGACCAGAGCCCACUGACUUCUAACAAAUCAUGAAUCUAAAAUCAAGUCCUGUUACGAAGCAACUGAUGUAGGGUCGUGGCCCAGAGUCCAGGCAGUGGUUGAGGGGGCCCCGGCCUCACGUCUCCCAGCACCAAACGCUGCCACCGUAGCCCCCUUGCCCUCUACUACUGAGCAGCUUCUCGGAUGCAUCACGCCACGCGUGGACUGCUUGGGUCAUAAUUCAGUCAACAGCAUGGCUGGUGCAGCAUGAGCCAGAGGGGCAAGAAGGACCUGGAGCCUGAGGUCCAUGGCUUACGAACCGUGUGGCCUGGGAGAGCAAGACGAUCUCCCUGAACCUCACUUUUCUCAUCUUUAUGGCAGGGGCAAGAAGAGCACGUCGACCCCACAGGUACUGCAAGGAUAAAGUAAUAAGUGCCCAGCGCAGGGCCCGGCACAGAGGGAGCGCUCGAUGAACAUCAGCUACCACCACCUUCCUCCGUCACUAUGCCGUCUUCAGAUCUUACGUUCAAGAAACCCACAACAAUGUGGGCUGACCCACUACUUUUUUUUCUCUUCUGAAUAAAUUAUUUCACUUAAUUUUUUUUUCACAACUUACAAGUAAAAAUAUACUUAGUGUUUCAAAAAGCAUUUAUUGCAUCUGGGCCAUGUGGUAAAGAGAGCCUGGAAAGAGUACAAGAUUCCUAAUGCACCCAACCAGAUAGACACCUGACAUAGAGAUCUAGCGGCCUGGGGCAGCCCGGGUGGCUCAGCGGUUUAGCGCCACCUUCGGCCCAGGGCGUGAUCCUGGAGACCUGGGAUCGAGUCCCACGUCGGGCUCCCUGCAUGGAGCCUGCUUCUC